GUAGUGUGUAAUCUACCCAACAGGAUUGAUCCAGGUCAGGCAUUAAAGGCUAAAAUGGAUUAAACAAAAGACAUUCCCCUUGUAACAAGAAGGAAAAACUUCAAAGGUGGGAUUUGUUCUUGUUAUGACAAAGGAAGUGGAUUUACCAAGUGCCUGGGGGCACACCCCUCCGCGGCUUUCAAUUUGCUCGAGUUGCUAUGAAGAAACAGGACAAAAUGCGUGGGGGUUUUCGCCGCGCGCUUCGGCGCUGCCGGAGCCCUCCCCGGGGUUGUCCCUGGUCAGUGGAAAUGCAGCUGUAGGCACGUUCCCAGUUCUGCACGUCCGGGGAGGAAAGAGGACCUUCAGGCCAACAAAUCUCACCAGGUCUCCAGGUAAGCGUUACAGCCGCUCGCUUUUAUGAGACUUGCACCCUGCCGUGGGGGGAUUAUUGGUUUCUUCUUGUUCUUGAACCCACUCCAGAGCAAAGCUAAUUCUCCUCCCUGGCUGAGAAAAAGGCACAGUGGCAGUAGGCAUGGUGGCAGCAGGGCAUGGUGGCAACAAGUCACGGUGGCAGGAGCGCUGCUGCCUACAACACUGCUCCCUCUGUCUUCUCUAGGUCCUGCUACCACCACAGAGGACCUGCUGUGACUCUGGCACCAAAACCCCACAUCACUCGCCGAGGAAACCCGUAACACCCCAAACUUUUCCCAGCAGUGUGCUUCCACAAAGCCCAAAAUGCACCUUUGUGGCUGGUGCAUCCAGGUCUGGAGCAUCUCAAGGUGGCCUGGGCUGAGCUCCUGGGCAAUCCUGCAAAGGUGCUGCGUGGUGGGACCAUGGUGGCUCCCAUGGUCUCUGAUACCUCUUAUUGCUGGGAUCCAAACUACAGCAUGAAGGAGGCUCUUUGAAACCAAACUUCUAUCAUUUUUAACUAUUUCUUUAAGGGAACAAGACCUUGGGUCUAGUCUGUGUGAUUACAGCUGGGUUAAGUUAUAUGUGUCCAUGUGCCUCUGUGUGUGUACAAGUUUUCCACAUUAAAUUAGGCAAUUAGGCAAUUGGGUCCAAGCUGACAUCAAGAGAAGAGGUCCCCAGGUUUGCACAGUGACAGGCCUAUGGCAAUUAAAUGCGACACGAUCAAUUAUCGAAACGGGAAAGCGUCUUUGGGAAACUCCAUCUCCAUCCGUGCACGUUCUCUAUAUUAACCUACAGAGCUGAGCUACAACUCAUUUAUUUGUGGACAGAGAGGAAGGACUUCCAAUCUUUCAAUGCCUGAUGGCCACAAUUAGGCUCAUUAUCGUACACAGGCCUUGGAAGCACAUUGCAAAAGGCUGUCUCUGAACAUGAGCUGCUUUUCACCAAGUGUCAAGCUGAGGAGCUGGGAGUGAGCUGACUUGUCUCUGAAGGGCCUUCUGCUUGGGUUCAGCAUCCUCCCGAUGAGACCUUCUUGGGCCGAAAGUGGGAAGGACCAUCUCACCACUAGCCGGGAAGGACACUGGAAAACCAAUUAGGACUCAUAAAUGGCAAAUAAGGAUGCUGACAGUUACCACAGAGCAUCUUUCCCUUUUUUGCAGUGCAGUUAUUUUCACAGAGCAUGCCCAAAUCCCUUUAAACACAAGCGUAAAUGGUUUCUGCUGAGAUCCUGUCCCAGCAAGUGCCCCAUCACAAACCUGUCAGUAGAAGAGGGAGGUGGCAGAGGUCUGCAGAGCCUUGAGCGGUGGGGAUGGUGGAGAAGGGUACGGUGUUUCAUUUUGCUUCAUAAAACCAAGACUAGCAGGUUAGUGCAUCAUUUCCAAGAAGCUGUAGGAAGCCCUUCAUCGCAGAAUGCAUGAUGAAGUUGUGGACCUCUUCACUGCAGGAACCCCUGCAGAUCCAUAGGACCACCUCUGGCUGGAAGCAGUUGUGUGGCAGAGCAGUGGCGGUGAGGAAAAGAUGUGAAGGUACCACUCCGUGCUUAACUUCUUCUGACUCGGGCAGCAGUGACUGUCAGGGCUGUAGAAGGGCUGUGGGGUGAGGUGGGCUCUGGGGCAGGGCAGUGAGGCUGCUCUGGUCCUUCUCUGACACCGCUGCCUGGACAGCUUUGGCUUAUUGCACCUGUGCAAAGCUUUAAAGACAGUCCCAUUUAAUGGUAAAUAAUUGAUUUCUAUUGGAAUGAGUUGUUGAGUCAUUCCCGCUGCAGGUUGUCCAGCUCUGUCGCUCUCAUCGCUUUUUUUUCGCUUCCUGAUAUCUAGAUAUUUUCCUAAUAUCUAACCUAAAUCUCCCCUGCCUCAACUUGAGGCCAUUUCCUCUUGUCCUAUCUCCAGCCACCUGACAGAAGAGACCAAGAUGGGCUGUUCCAGGUUGGUCCGUGCCUCAGUUUCCCCUCUCUAAAGUGGGGAUGCUGCCUCGUGGUUCUCCUCCCUGUCUUCUCUGAGCAGAGGGGCAAGGACUGGCACCCCACAGCCCAUUAACCUCCUCCCAUGCCCUCUCUCUGCAACACCUUAUAUUUUGGGGUCUUUUUAUGGGGGUGUCAAUUUUAUGUUAAGGUCCUGGAAGUGUUUUGCAUCUCGUGGCAGGGCAGUGGGAAUGUAGACAACCACAUCGGCCCCAAACACUUCCCAGAUGGUCCCUCCUCAUUCCCAGCCCACUUAGUCAUUAAAAAUCUCCACUUAAAGCACAUAUUGCACAACCUCUUUUUUUGCUUUAUCUCAGCACCCAUCAACACACUGGCAUCGCCAUGGGUGUCCACGAGGGCUGGCAACUCCUCCAUCCUCCGUGGCUCUCCCACCUCCUGCUCCCUCUUGGGCUUCAAAAUGCCGCUCGGUUUUGUUCAGGUUUUAGCAAAUACCUUCUCACCUUGAUUUGUUUCUUUUUUGCCUUCCUAUUUUCUGCUCUCUUGGAACAGGCUUAUGCACUCCGCGAACUUGGCAAGCUUGAAAAAGAUAAGCACAAGUUUGCUGGCUCCGCAGAACCUUGUAAAGGACAAAUGAAGAGUUGCAGAAGACGAAGGCACUGUCCGACACCGUUUCCUAAAUACAGAGGGAUCCUGUGAAGCUCGUCCUCUUCUGGGAUUGUCACCCUGAUCCUGGGAGAGGGGUUCAGCCUUGGUUUGUCUGGAUUCCAGGCACAGAGUUGCAAGAGAAGGGACUUGCUGUGUUGGCUGAACUCUCUGGAGAUGAGGUCCUUGGGAAGCCCUGAGGAAGACAACUGCUCUGGUGAACAAUUGUCACGUCUUCACUGUGUGGCCUGGGACAUUCCCAGUCCCAGCACGGGCUCCCAGUGCCACCAGGCACCUGCUAUCAGAAGUUGACGAAUGUUCUCGUAUCGCCCAGCUGUGAGGAGCCGUGGGCACCACAAAAGAUAACCAGGAAUUUCAUCUGAUGCAUCCACUAUCUGGAAAGAGAUUAUUUUUCUUGAUGCUGAGCUGACUUUUCUGACCAUCUCAGUGUAGAUUUGGAGUCGAGUGUGGGGUCCCAGGAGGGAAAAGGAAGGGUGAUUCAUGUUGCGGCUAUCAGCGUUUCACACAUCUGAGAGAGUGGCGUGCCCCAGCUGAGAACUUCAAUUCACUUAGUGCAAGAUGAAAUGGCAGCUGUGUUGGAUUGAUAAAACAAUAAUAAUCAUGAUGAAAUAAUAGGCUUAAUGCCAGCUACUGCUGUUUAGCCAAAAGGUCAUUUUGACAGAUGUAACUUUUAUCAGGAAGCAUCAAAAUAUCAGAUGCGUUUUUGAUUUUUUGAGGAGAGGGCACUGAGAAGACAAAGUGGGGAUGUUGAACAUGCCAGGACUUUUCUGGGCUCUGGCAUUUGGCUGGAAGCAGCUUAUGGUCUGCAAACGGCAGGUCCUCAGCUCCGGGGACAUCGUGGCCAGAGCUCUGCCGUGACCAGCACCAGGCUCUGCUGCCCUGGCUGAGAAACUCACCCACAAAUCACGUCCCUUUGGCUGAACUCUUAGGGUUUUUAUUUUUCUCUCAUCUCCUGAAACUGUGGGCAGGUUUCUGAUUCCUGCACCAGAAAAUACCUUCCUGCCUUGUCUUGGAAACCCGAUGCAACAUUGCUUUGGUUCCCACCUGCCCUUGGUGGCCUGUCUGGUCCCCACGUGCUGCCUCAGCUCUCCAGGGACUGCACAACUUAUGCCAACACAGACUGUUCUGCCUUUCCUCCCUGGACCAGCUUAGUGCCCAUCCUAAGGAUGAUGGGGCUAAACUAUAUAUACAUACAUGAAAAAACCAGUUGUAUAGCUCUGCUCCUUGCCCAGGGCUGUGUCAGAACAAAUGUUGAUUGGGAAGACUAAGUCUUUAAUUGUGUGUCUCCCUUCUGCUGGUGGCUUUGCUGGAUCUCCACCUCUCUGCUUUCCCACCAGAGCCUGUCCUUGCCCUCCACUGUAACCCUCAAUUUGCCCAGAGGGUCUCACAUCCCUCCUGGAGGACGGACCCUGCUCAUCCCGCUGCCGGGGGACUCUGUCUGGGCUCUCUAUCCUUCCUUGCUGCCCCAUGGGCUGUGCUUUUUCCCUCCUCUGAAGCUCAGAGCGGUGUCCUUGAACCUGCCGUUGCACGUGCAUCCUCACUGCCUUGGGUACCGUGUCCAGGGAUGUCACCGUUGGCUUCCCCACAUCAUGACAGCGUGCAGCCAGACACGCUCCGUCAGCCUCAGGCUGCACAUUUCAGAAGCUCCCAGGGUCCCCCGGCAUCCCAUGGCCAGAGUUUGGGGUCUCCCCUCUCCUGCUUGCUCAAACUGCCGCCUCCCUGCCACUGCGGGUGGUUUCUAGCUUGCUGGGUGUGCACCUGCAAGCAGAGCCCAGUUAAAACCAGUGCACCCCAGUUCAGCAAGGGGAGAAGCGGACUUGCUUUAUUUUUUGUUUUGCGAGUGAGAGGCGCUUUCCAGCGCAAGCCAAAAGCGGGUCUUCUCUCGGCUUCGCCAGCUGAAUUGCGGGACUGCGCUAUUUGCAGCCGAGAAGCUGCUCUCCCACCGCUCCCGGAUCAAAUGCAAGCAGGAGCCGUGGGAGGCCAGCCCAUCUCUAACCACGUGAAUCAAUCUGAAGGAAAGAGACAAAAUCCCCAAAUCUCAAAAUAAUGAAAACAAAGAUAUCCGAGUAAUAAAAUCUGCAAGAAGCACAAAGACAACGUAACUCAGAUCUCAGCUGGCUCAAAGAAAGUGUCUAUUAACAAGGGAUUAGCGGGAGGGAAGUACACAACCAGUCAAUAGGAAGUGAAAAUACACCGCACAGUCGCCUAAUAUCACAGGCCAACGCAGGGUUAGGAUGAAGGCUGUGUUGGGCGAGUUAGAAUAAGAGCUACUCCAGAAAUCUAGCAAAUAAAAAAACAAGCGCUGCAAAGCCUGCCUUUGCUGUGGCGCCUGGUUUUUAAGAAACCUUGAAGACUCGUAGCUCUCAGUCAAAGAAAAAGCAUCUUGUUCUUUCACUCUGCAUACUUAUGUGCAUCCCUCACGUGCUGCACUUCACCGCUACACCUGAGAAAUAGAGAUUUUUUUCUUGUCUUGGGGCUUGUGUAUCUCCUUUCACUGCCAGGUCUGGUCUGGACUCGGACCUUGCAGAUGCCCUGGUAUUUACCUCCCUGGUAACACAAAUAGGAAUAAAAAAUGAGUGAGAUGAUUGAUUAUGUUCUCCCCAUGGCCAUUUUCCAGCUAGUCUGAACGGGUCCAAAACUCUUCUUUCCCUAAAUUUCAAGAAAAUCAGUUAUUCUAUGAAAAGCACUGAUGGAUUGUGGAGUAUUUCUUAAAAAGCAGGGCAGGAGAAAGCGCUGUGUAAUUAAAUAUGCAGAGAGCGUAGCAUGUGUGGGUGAUACAUUCAUUUGGAGUAAUACACACACUUGCACUUCCAUCGUUAUUUAGAGAUUAAACCUGUGCAGCUCCUCAGCGCUCACGUCUGCCCAAAGCCCCCGUGGACUGCAGCAGGCAUUGGGGUCCCUUCUGAAGCCACGAAGCAUUAAACCCUAUCCCAAAAGCCACGUGUGGCUCUACUCUUAAAUGAGUUUUCACAAGCCAAGCCUCGUUUUAGUAACUCAGUGUUUUAACUGGUCUGUGCUAAGAGGAUGGGGGGGAGAGGCUGGGUGGUACC